AGCGAACGCUGGCGGCAGGCCUAACACAUGCAAGUCGAACGAAGUCUUCGGACUUAGUGGCGGACGGGUGAGUAACGCGUGGGAACGUGCCUUUAGGUUCGGAAUAACUCAGGGAAACUUGUGCUAAUACCGAAUGUGCCCUUCGGGGGAAAGAUUUAUCGCCUUUAGAGCGGCCCGCGUCUGAUUAGCUAGUUGGUGAGGUAAUGGCUCACCAAGGCUACGAUCAGUAGCUGGUCUGAGAGGAUGACCAGCCACAUUGGGACUGAGACACGGCCCAAACUCCUACGGGAGGCAGCAGUGGGGAAUCUUGCGCAAUGGGCGAAAGCCUGACGCAGCUAUGCCGCGUGGAUGAUGAAGGUCUUAGGAUUGUAAAAUCCUUUCACCGGUGAAGAUAAUGACUGUAGCCGGAGAAGAAGCCCCGGCUAACUUCGUGCCAGCCGCCGCGGUAAUAC
rnacentral:rRNA from 1 species